CCUACGAUCAGUCCACUGGCCCUAGACCUGCAAUGUUAGUGAAGCAACAAAGCACUAUAGAUAACCAAUUGCCUCUCACCGCCAUAGCUGUCAUCACAGCCUGUGUCUCUCAGGAUGAAAACAAAUCAAAAUCGGAAGCAAGAAGACACAAAUGAGAUGGGGACAGAUGACACUUUGGAACAAAGAGAAUGACAGAGGUGAAGAGAAGAAGUCUUCAGACAGAGUUCAAAGUUCAAACUUACAGAAUUUACUAAAAGUUUCAGUAUAUGCUUAGAAGAGAGUGUUGCAGCUGCUGGUGGCUGCUGGAGCCAGGAUUUCUUGAUUUGGGGGAGUGGGGGCAUCAUUCCUAUUUCAGCCUGCACUUUCUUCUCACCUUCUUUUCUUUGUGUACAUCCCCUGCUGUUCUCCCCUAAAGGCACAUUGAGUUUAGAGCCACUCCAAAUCCAAAUCGCACUUAAACGUGCUAUGCCAGUUAAUCUUCAUUGUCACCUUAACUGAACCAGGACUCCUGAAGAGGUGUCUAUCACAGGAGUCCUACACUCAUCAGAGGGUGAAUACACAGGAUGUCACAGCUGAUCUGCUGCUGUUAGGUGGUGGGGCCCAGGUGGAGGGAGUGGGACACUGGCCACACACUUGGGGGGCAUGUGUCUCCCUGUUGGGCUCUUCUGCUGUGCCCUGCUUUCUAGCUUUAUUCCCCCGCCCACAUCCUUCUGCCAUGAUGUCCCACCCUGGAGCCCCCUGACUAUGAACUGCAAGCUCUGAAAUCGUAACAGAAUAAAUAUCUCCUUCUGUAAA